rnacentral:rRNA from 1 species
UACGGGGGGGGGCAAGCGUUGUUCGGAAUUACUGGGCGUAAAGGGCUCGUAGGUGGCCAACUAAGUCAGACGUGAAAUCCCUCGGCUUAACCGGGGAACUGCGUCUGAUACUGGAUGGCUUGAGUUUGGGAGAGGGAUGCGGAAUUCCAGGUGUAGCGGUGAAAUGCGUAGAUAUCUGGAGGAACACCGGUGGCGAAGGCGGCAUCCUGGACCAACACUGACACUGAGGAGCGAAAGCCAGGGGAGCAAACAGG